UUACUACUUGGAUACCGUGGUAAUUCUAGAGCUAAUACAUGCUUAAAAAUCCCGACUCCGGAAGGGAUGCCUUUAUUAGAUUUAAAAACCAAUGCCCCCCCCGGGGCUUCUCUGGUGAUUCAUGAUAACUGCGCGAACCGCAUGGCCUCGCGCCGGCGGUGGUUCAUUCAAAUUUCUUCCCUAUCAACUUUCGAUGUUUGGGUAGUGGCCAAACAUGGUUGCAACGGGUAACGGAGGGUUAGGGCUCGGCCCCGGAGAAGGAGCCUGAGAAACGGCUACUACAUCCAAGGAAGGCAGCAGGCGCGCAAAUUACCCAAUCCCGACACGGGGAGGUAGUGACAAUAAAUACUGAUACAGGGCUCUUUUGGGUCUUGUAAUUUGGAAUGAGUACAAUUUAAAUCCCUUAACGAGGAACAAUUGGAGGGCAAGUCUGGUGAACGUUGCUGGCGCCAGAGAUAGCCGCCCCUCGAUAAAUAAAGCAGCUAGUCGAGUGCUCAUGGAGUGACGGGUGAGCACCGGCGAGACCACCUGGUUCGGGGAAGGCUAAGGGUCGCCGCAUUUGGGGGGGGGGCCUAUGCUGAUCCCGAGCAGAGCCGGUAUUUUCGCGGCCUGUGUAGAGCGCGCCAAGGUGUCGGUUCCGGGGACCCCCUCCCCCUGCCCAGCGCGGAGGGGGGGUUCCCGGGGCUUAAGGAACGUGCCACUCCCCUGCGAAAGCAGGGCCCUGCGAAAAAAAAACCCGUUACGCGAAGCCGCAGGGGGGCCUCUUAGCGAGGCCGCGAUCUCAGCAAGGUUUCCCACCUUCGGGGGCUCGAGCAAAAAAGAUCAAGGGGGGGGG
rnacentral:rRNA from 1 species